AGACAGCUGUAUGCUGUUGAGAAGAGAGAGCAUGAUGUCAUUGCUAAAAUAUCUCGUUACGCCUCGUUGGAACUACGUGAUCUGAAAAGUCUGUGCCCACCCGAUCUCUUGAAAGACACCAGUAGCCAACUGAUGCCAUGGCUAUAUGACAAUACAGUAAAUUGUCGGAUUGCACAAAUUGCCUCAGAAAACCAGAAUGUUGCAGCCUUGACAACUGACACAUUUAUUUUGUGGUACAGGGACUGGCUGGCUUCAAGAAAUAUUUCUGAUUCACAUCUGAAAAUU